rnacentral:lncRNA from 1 species
GGCCAUGCUCUUUUUGAACUUCUCCACUGGACCGUUUGAGUCCUUCAAAUCAGCCUACUAUGGUGCUGUAGAGGAGUUCAGUGGCAAGGAUGUGAAGUUCCUUAUUGGUGACAUUGAAGCGAGCCAAGGCGCCUUCCAGGUUGAUUGAUUGUUUCCCUUUCUAUUUCUUUACAUUGUUAUCCAUACUGUUGUUUUUUCCUUGGUGCUAACAGAUUUUUCUUUGAAACAUAGUACUUUGGCCUGAAAGAGGAUCAGGCACCACUUAUCCUCAUUCAAGACAGUGACUCGAAGAAGUUUUUGAAGGAACAGGUUGAGGCUGGCCAAAUUGUUGCUUGGUUGAAGGAUUACUUUGUAAGUAGCCAUUCCUUGUUUCCCUUGGUUGUAGGACUACAACCUUAUUUGUUUGAUCCCAUGUAAUCUCUUCAGCAAUUUCAUUAGUGUUCAUUCGUAUUGUAGGAUGGCAAAUUGACACCAUUCAGGAAGUCCGAGCCUAUUCCUGAGGCCAACAAUGAGCCUGUGAAGGUAGUUGUGGCUGACAACAUUCACGACGUGGUCUUCAAAUCUGGCAAAAAUGGUAUUCAUCUUUUUUGUCCUUGCUGGAUUAAGCUAGUUGUAGCAAGUGACUGCGAUUCCUUCUAAGUGAAACAAUGGUCUUGUAUGACCUUGGUGAAGUCUUCCUGUAAGUAUGCGCUCAUUGAUUUGCCACCUUAUAUUGCAGUUCUUAUCGAGUUCUAUGCACCCUGGUGCGGACACUGCAAGAAGCUAGCACCCAUCCUCGACGAGGCAGCUGCCACCCUUCAAAGCGAAGAGGACGUUGUGAUUGCCAAGAUAGUAAUAUUUGUUGCCCUCUCCGUCGUUCCAGUUCCAGCAACGAAAUACAACUUACCUAACCACUGUUUCUCAACCUUGUCCACAGGACGCUACCGCGAAUGACGUUCCCGGCGAGUUUGAUGUCCAGGGUUACCCCACCCUCUACUUCGUCACUCCUAGCGGGAAGAAGGUCUCGUAUGAGGGCGGCAGGACGGCCGACGAGAUUGUCGACUACAUCAAGAAGAACAAGGAGACUGCCGGGCAGGCGGCAGCGGCGGCGACCGAGAAGGCAGCUGAACCGGCUGCCACCGAGCCUCUGAAGGACGAGCUCUGAGCAUCAGUCUUGCUAGCAGCAGACAGGUAGAGGAGGGGGAAACAUGUUUUGGCAAGGCAGCUUCCAACGCCAGAUUUUGCGAGGGGGGGACGAGAGUUGGUUGUUGGUUGUGUUGGCCCCGGUUUUGCCUGAUACUGUUUCCCGUUGCGAGAAAUACUGUAACAAAUCCAUCAGUGGUGUACCUAGUUAAAUUAUCGAGAAGUGGCAUUAGAAAUGGUCUGUGGAGAGCUCUGGUAAUAAGCGGUGCUACUGUGCCUGGUAGAAUUAUCAUGCAUGUCAGCAUGUGUUACGCUUA